rnacentral:rRNA from 1 species
UACGAGAACCCCAAGCGUUAUCCGGAAUCAUUGGGCGUAAAGGGUGUGUAGGUGGUUGUGUUAGUCUUCUGUCAAAACUUCGGGCUUAACCCGAAUCUUGCGGAGGAAACGGCACGACUCGAGGAUGCGAGAGGUGAAUGGAACUCAUGGAGUAGGGGUAAUAUCCGUUGAUAUCAUGGGGAACACCAAAAGCGAAGGCAAUUCACUGGCGCAUUCCUGACACUGAAACACGAAAGCGUGGGUAGCGAAUGGG